UACGAGGGGGGCAAGCGUUGUUCGGAAUUAUUGGGCGUAAAGGGUGCGUAGGCGGUUUGGUAAGUCUUAUGUGAAAUCUACAGGCUCAACUUGUAGUCUGCAUGAGAAACUGCCGGGCUUGAGUAUGGGAGAGGUGAGUGGAAUUCCUGGUGUAGCGGUGAAAUGCGUAGAUAUCAGGAGGAACACCUGUGGCGAAAGCGGCUCACUGGACCAUAACUGACGCUGAGGUGCGAAAGCGUGGGGAGCAAACAGG
rnacentral:rRNA from 1 species